rnacentral:ncRNA from 2 species
CGACAAGCCCGGGUAUACAGUGCUCCCACACCAGCAGAUGCGGGGAAUCCGGUGAGAAUCCGGAGCGGUCGCGCCACUGUGUCCCGCGGGAGAACCGCGGGGAGUCAGGUCGCCGUACCUGCUGGUCCGGA